GAAAGCAUGUCAUGAUUUUUUCAGACGCUAGUGAUGUUGCUGGAGCAGCACAUACAGUAGAGUUGGAUCAAAAGGUUUUUCACAUUGGAUGGAGCGAGUUUGAAAAAGAAAAGAGUUCUACAUGGAGAGAAUUAAAGGCUAUAGAGCUUGGUUUAUUAUCGUUUCACAAAGUUCUUUGUGGAAAAACUGUGAAAUGGUUUACUGAUAAUCAAAACUGUGUAAAAAUCAUUGAAAGUGGGAGUAUGAAAAGUGAUUUACAAGAAAUUUCAUUGGGCAUUUUUCAGAUUUGUCUGUCUAACGGUAUUUCAAUCGACGCUCAAUGGAUACCCAGAAAUAAAAAUUUCAGAGCAGAUUAUUUAAGCAAAAUUAUUGAUUACGAAGACUGGGGGAUAACAGAUGAGUUUUUUGAAUUUAUGACCAGUAUUUGGGGUCCAUUUGACAUUGACCGGUUUGCGAAUUUUAAAAAUACCAAGUUAGAACGAUUCAAUUCGUUAUUUUGGAAUCCUGGUACAGAGGGUGUAGACUGUUUUAGUUUUUCAUGGGAAAGGGAUAACAAUUGGCUAGUACCCCCCAUUUCAUUGAUUGGUAAAUGCAUUUUACAUUUGAUUGGAACUAAAUGGAGAGGUACUAUCAUUGUUCCACAUUGGCCCUCUUCUUAUUUCUGGCCUUUGAUUUUUGACGAGUAUAAUGAAACCAUGCCCGUUGUAAAGGAGGUUUUAGAGUUUCGUGAAGGUUACAGAAUUUUUAAACAAGGAGAUAAUAAGAAUUCUAUUUUUGGUUCUCUGGAUUUUUAUUCAAAAGUUUUGACAAUCAGAUUAGAUGCAAGAAUGUGAAAUGGGACCUGAUGUGCAAGGGCACAUUGCAGAAGGUUUAACAUAUUAUUGGUCCUGGUGCAUGCGGUGCAUUGCAGAUGUUUUUAUAAACGUAUAUAUUGUAUGAUUAGUUGUCAAGAGAGAUUUAUUGGAAGAUGCGUUAAUCUUAUAAGUGGUAUCGGGUCCUGAUAUGCUAGAGGCAUAUUGCAGAAGUUUUAUAUGAAUAACAUUAUAUACGGAGGUCAUGAAUAAUGAAAUGUGUGUAUAUUUCGAUGCAUAUACAUGUAGGUAGUGAUAUUUUUUUAAUAGAUGUUUUCAAUUAUGCGUUUUACAGAUAUAUUCCGCAAGGGAAGGUGGGCAGAAAACAGAUCGUACGACAACCCAGAGCUGAAUAGACUAUCUGCCCUACUACCGGAGUACUGUCUAAAAGGAAAGGCAGAAAAUACCAGAAAGAAAUAUAAUUUGAUGAAUGUAUAUGGAUGGAGGUAUAAGGGUACAUGAUGGUACAUGAGAAUACAUGAUGGUACAUGAGGGUACAUGAGGAUUGAUAAUGUAUAUUAUAAUGUGUGAAUAAAUCUGAGUGCUUCGCCUCCUAUCCUAUAAAUAA